rnacentral:misc_RNA from 1 species
UCUCCGUUGGUGAACCAGCGGAGGGAUCAUUACUGGAAUCGCAAGAUCCCACAACCCCUGUGAACCUACCGAAACGUUGCCUCGGCGGGCGCCCGGCCCCGCGCCGGGUGCUGAGCCCGCCGGCGGCCCCCUACUCUUGUCUCUGCAGCGUGGCAUCUCAGAGUCCCAGAAAACAAGUAAACACUUUCAACAACGGAUCUCUUGGCUCUA